AGUGAACGCUGGCGGUAGGCCUAACACAUGCAAGUCGAACGGCAGCACAGUAAGAGCUUGCUCUUACGGGUGGCGAGUGGCGGACGGGUGAGGAAUACAUCGGAAUCUACUUUUUCGUGGGGGAUAACGUAGGGAAACUUACGCUAAUACCGCAUACGACCUACGGGUGAAAGCAGGGGAUCUUCGGACCUUGCGCGAUUGAAUGAGCCGAUGUCGGAUUAGCUAGUUGGCGGGGUAAAGGCCCACCAAGGCGACGAUCCGUAGCUGGUCUGAGAGGAUGAUCAGCCACACUGGAACUGAGACACGGUCCAGACUCCGACGGGUGGCAGCAGUGGGGAAUAUUGGACAAUGGGCGCAAGCCUGAUCCAGCCAUACCGCGUGGGUGAAGAAGGCCUUCGGGUUGUAAAGCCCUUUUGUUGGGAAAGAAAAGCAGCAGGUUAAUACCCCGCUGUUCUGACGGUACCCAAAGAAUAAGCACCGGCUAACUUCGUG
rnacentral:rRNA from 1 species